GGGCGGGGCGGCGGGGUCCCCGGAGGGAGCGGUUGGUGUGCGGAGCCACCGGGGUACCCUGAGGGGUCGGUCCGGUCCGGUCUGGUCCGGGCUGGGCUGUGGUGUUGUGUUGUGUUGUGUUGUGUUGUGUUGUGUUUGUUGUGUUGUGUUGUGUUGUGUUGCACAGGGUGCUGUCAGCUGCAGCUAUCGCCUUGGAUGAAAUGCAAGCGAUAGGACCUAUAGAGAGGAAACAGCCUCAGACUGCCCCGGCGAGGUUUAGAUUGGAUCUUGGGAACAAUUUCUUCCCGAAAAGAAGAAUGUCGGGUGUUGGAACAGGCUGCCCAGGGCAGUGGUGGAGUCACCAUCACUGGAGGGGUUUAAAAUACACAUAGAUGUGGUUCUUAUGGACGUGGUUUAGUGCUGGUGUUGUGUUAAUGGUUGGAUUUAAUGAUCUUAAAGGUUCCUUCCAACCAAAACGAUUCUAUGAUUCUACGUGUAUCGCGAAGAGCAGCUCUGUUUUUGCGGGGCUUGAGCCAGCUCCCUGCUGCCCAAGGGAAUCCCGCUAGCCAGGCCCACAGGCUGUUCCCGGUUCCCUACAAUAGCCCAUGGUUUUACAGAAGCAAGGGCAGACUGCUUUCUGCAUAAGGUAAUGGGUAAAGUGUUAAUGAACGAUGCCACAAAUAUGUUUCAGGUGUUAAGGGAGAUGUUGCCCACAGACCCAGACUUUUGCAAGCCAAACCGAAGGGUUCGUGAAACUUGGCACUUGCCAACUUCUCACCCUGGCCAGAAAUACUGCAGAGAGAUACCUGGUGCUCCCUUUUGUUUCUCUUCCAACAACCUACAGAAACAUAUUGCUUUGCAUUGAGUAACUAUAUUGUCCGCAGUCAGCUUUACCUGUCUAGGGUUAAAAAGGCAGCUGGAGAAACUCAAGGGCAUUCCCUGAGGAUGGUAAUCCUAAACCCAGGCAUGGGAAAACACCCAAAGAGAUCAGCUCUGCAGCACUUCUCCCAGCGAAGCCAGCACAGUGAGCCUUCGGUGGGCUGUAAAACCUGUAUGAGAGCUGGUAAAACUAGUCUGAGAGAAAUAAAAAGGUGGCUUUGGAUAGUCAGUGUCGGCCAGGAGACCUCUCUGGCAUGCAGCAGGGUGUCAGGGACACUGGUUCACAAGUGUGCCAAAGGGAACACAGUGAAAUGCAGCUCGUGAUUUGCUCCAGAGAUGCUGCUGCACAUGGAGAGCUGCGGAGUGCUCCUCCUGCCCUCACCUCCCAACUAUGCUUGAAUACCACUGGGUGUUUGCCUCCGUGUAUUUAACCCUAAUGUUCAAAAUAAAUCCCAAGACAGUCAUCAAAACCCAAGCAGUCUCUGUGAGGAAUGUUAUUGUGGGAAAGUGGAUUGGUGCAACCCAGGAAAUUCUAUGGCAGCUUUACUUUGAAAUUCUGGCUGGUAGUCUCACCUUCGCAAGCUGACAUCUGCCAUUUUAGUCAUUUCCAUGAUUUAACUUUUUGUUGCUGGUAUUAAGAUGUUUCUUUUUAUAGUUUUGGUGUUCUUUUUGGUGGUUUGGUUUGUGGAUUUUUAGUCGUGUUCUCCUGUUUUCAAUAAAUAGCCUCUGGAGUGGCAGGUCUCAGGACUAACUCCGUAAAGACAUUGAAACACAUCAAUUCCCCCGUUUUUCAGUAGAAGUAAAAGAGAAGAGCAUAAAUAUCUUUGAGCCUGACUGUUGGUGUCUGUGUGCAUCGUAUUUGCUAUUGCUAAGACAAAGGAAAACCUCAUUUCCUUGUCUUCCAGAGGGACCAAAAACUUUAUGGAUGAGUAUCUGCAAUGGACUUCUAGGUUUCCAAGGGAAGAACAAAGCAGUAUUAAGCAGUCGUAUUGGCAGUAGCACUUGUGCAUGCUUUAUGUGUACUGAAAUACUGGAUGGUCCUUGGAAAGUCUUGCUAUCCUUGGAUGCCACUACUGGCUGUGCUACAGGGAGGAAAAAAUGACACAGCCUUCAAAACCGCUCACUCACCAGGUCUGAAGCAGAGAAAUACCAGUUCUGAUCCUGUGUAAGGAGGGAUGACGCACUAAUCCUGACAUUGAAGGAAGGAGCAGACAAGUACUGUCUAUAGAUGAAUGAACCUUAAUAGCAAUAUAGGUUCUGCUUUUCUGGGUACAUAAAUCCUCCUUAUUAUAAGUCCUGAUUUUGUGACUUUUAUGACUGCAGCUCCAUUUACGUGUGCAACAGGCAGUUGCAGGUGUGAUGCCCAGCAGAAGCAGAGCUGCAGAAAUCAUUAAGGAUGCUCUGCAUGGAUCACCAUGCAGGGAGCCUGUGACUUCUUCCACACAGCGUGACGUGUGGGCCGGAUGUUUGGGGGAAAUGACAGUCGCCUCCCGGACUCUGCUCCCAACUGCUGGAGACUCAUUAGCAAAAUUACUUCUGCUUCUGUUUCUGAGCCCGUUGCUGCUACCUAAUUUCCACUGGGUCCGCUAGUCUGUUCAGGAGCGCAGCAGCUCCUGCCAGUAGCCGACACCCUGGCUUGGGAAAUGCUGCUCCAGAGGUCAUUAGAGAGCUUUAUUAAUAAUCAUUACAUUAACCUCCCAGCUAGCAAGUGACAGAAAUGGCAUUUCUCCCUUUUUAUAGCUGAGAAAAAUGAAGCGUAGACAGAUUCAUCACCUGGUUACAGAGUCAAUGGAAGCUCUUAAUGCUCUGUAAAUCUGAAAAUUAGGCUGUCGGCAGCUUCUCCUAAAGCCAAGCUGCAGCAAAGCUCUCUAGAAGACCCAGUUCCUACCCAUCAGGUAGACCCCCACCUCUGUUAAAUGGGAGAAACCUGGUCACGUCUCAGAUUUUCAGUGCAGAGCUCCCAAGGAAAGGACACAAUGUGCUUAAUGACUGUGUUUUGGCAGAGACAUAGGAACUAAUUCCUCUUAUAGCAACACAGGUACACAUCUGGUCAUCAUCUGGAGCUUGCCUGUGAAGGAAUAUUUCAUUCUUAAAACAUACCGUUUAGAUUGAAGUGGGCUGCUUGGGAUAUGAGUACAGCAGGAACUGUGGGGGACCUACCUGGUUGGUUGAUUUGUUCUUUUUAACUUCUUUUCUAGUUCAGUAGUGCAGAACCAAGUAGUGCCAGGGGGCAGGAUGCUUAGUGACAUCUGUUAUAAUUAGGAUUAUACACUGUUAUUAAAAAAAAAGAUAUUUUUUCAAUGCUUUAUAACACACCAUUAAUUGUAUGCAUCAGCCUCAGCCUUCCUCCAUUUGCUGUAGAGAUUUUGAGCAAAAGUGGUUUAACAGUUUUCAGAAGUGAUCAGCAAAAUAAAAUACCAACAUUUACUGCUAUGUUUCAAAAGCACCGAUCUUCUAAAGAAAAAGAAAAAAAGAAAAGUAGAAAAAUAAAAGGUUAUCUUGGAGAGGUGUCAUCCUUGUUCACUGCAACUACAUUAUUCACGCCUUCUGAAGACGCAUUUGACUUGAUGGAACUAAAAUGAGGUUAAAAUCAUUUGGUGACUCUUCUGUAAUACUGAAAUAUUGUCUCCAAAGUUUCCAGGCGCUACAGAGACACAAAGAGAAAUGCACGUGCACCUGCCAUGUCAAAGGGUGCGUCCUGAAGCAAAGCAACAGAGGAGCCUGGCUUCAUUUCUGACCUACACAAGCAGAAACACAUCAGUGACUGCUCAGAAUUAUGAAAUUCCCUUUAUAGGGGGAAAAAAAAAAAAAAAAGGAUACCAUCCUGUUAUUAAACACCACACUGUAAUAUAUGUACCUGGGGGCAGAGUGAUGGUUCCCUUAUGGCAUGUACUUUUGCUUUGAGUCUUGUAUUGAGUGGGCUUUCUGGGCAAAUACUAACUAAACUCCCCGCUUGGCUUAAGGAGGGCUAAUGCGGGUUUCUCUCUCACACUGGCUUGGCCCACCCUGGGUUUGUGCAGCCCCAGGUGCAUGUCUGGACCCUGCAGCUCUGCCAAAGCUGGUUCUCACUCAGUGGCAAGGCUCAGCCGUUCCUUACCCGCUGUGCCUGCUCCCACCAACACCCCCCAAAUCUGGCCAAACUCAGCCCCUGCAAUCGCUCCCGCUCUCAGCUAAUACACCGUGCCUAAACACAACCAUGCUCAAAUUCAUUCCUUCUGUAACUGCACUAAUAAUUUUAAUAAAGAUUAAUUUGGCA